rnacentral:tRNA from 2 species
UGCCCGGUAGUGUAAUGGUAGCACAGCAGCUUUUGGAGCUGCGCGUCUAGGUUCGAGUCCUGGCCGGGCAG